UAGGGAAUCUUGCGCAAUGGGCGAAAGCCUGACGCAGCGACGCCGCGUGAGGGAUGAAGGCCUUCGGGUUGUAAACCUCUUUCAGCAGGGACGAAAUUGACGGUACCUGCAGAAGAAGGUCCGGCCAACUACGUGCCAGCAGCCGCGGUAAUACGUAGGGACCAAGCGUUGUCCGGAUUUAUUGGGCGUAAAGAGCUCGUAGGCGGUUAUCCACGUCGGAUGUGAAAGCUCAGGGCUCAACCCUGAGAUGCCAUUCGAUACGGGAUAGCUAGAGGUAGGUAGGGGAAAGUGGAAUUCCUGGUGUAGCGGUGAAAUGCGCAGAUAUCAGGAGGAACACCGGUGGCGAAGGCGGCUUUCUGGGCCUUACCUGACGCUGAGGAGCGAAAGCUGGGGGAGCGAACAG
rnacentral:rRNA from 1 species